CCACAUUUUGUUUAUCUAUCCCCUGGGUGCUGGGCAUCUCAGCUGGUUCUAUUUGUAACCAUGGCGACUAGCUCAGUGGUAAACAUCCAUCUACCCUCCGGUAUCUUCACCUAAAGUCCUUUGGAACCUGUAAUGGCCCCUGGAGGGAUACUUUACAGAAGCAGCUGGUCGGCCUGGAACCUGCACAGUCACCGCCUCUUUCAAGUCACAGCAGGUCCUGGCAGCGCCACACACACCAAAAGAAUAUUGAGUUUAUCGGUUUGUAAAAUCUUUGGGAUGGAUUCUCCCCAGACCACUCUCUUCCAACAACCCCAAAGUUAAGAAAGUCACGGGCAUCUGAGACCCCCUCAGAGAUCUCCUGCUCUGUUGACGAUUCCACCAAGGUACUUGGAAGGUGCUCUGGACUAUGACUUCCUUCUGUUCUGUAACUAAGAAAACUUCACGGAACUGAUUCCACCAUGAGGUUUGUUACUCAAGACCUUAGAGUGCAGAAGGGCAAGAAUGUUUAGAAAUCUGGCGACUAUACUCACAGGUGCUGCUCUGGCCUGAUGUCUUUGCAAAGGUGAUCAACACUCCAGUGGGAUGCGGCCUCCCACUGACCUGGUAAAUACUUCAGGCC